ACCUGUAAUCUUUCAUUUUAACUUCAGUCCUUUCAUUGUUUCUCUCCUGAUUGCAGCUGGAGCCCUUCAGUGUCAAACCUGCACAGAUCAGACAUGUUCAACCACAAUAGCAAAUACAUGUUCUUCAGAGACCAUGUGUGUUACAGCUACUAUUUUAGCUACCUCAUCUGGAACUACGGCAACACAAAUCUACAAGGCAUGUGCAUCUUCCUCCCUGUGUCCAACUACGGGCUCUCAGACAUUUGCAGUUGACCUGGGUGUUCAAAGUGCUCUUGCAUCUGUCACGUGCUGCAACACGGAUAACUGCAACUCAGCAACUCUGGCUGCCCCUACUCCUCAGUCAAGUAACGGCCUACUAUGUAACUAUUGUUC